GACAGAGGGUGCAAACGUUGUUCGGAAUUACUGGGCGUAAAGCGCGUGCAGGCGGCAGCGCAAGUCGGAUGUGAAAGCCCACGGCUCAACCGUGGAAGAGCAUUCGAAACUGCGAGGCUAGAGUCCUGGAGAGGAAGGUGGAAUACUUGGUGUAGAGGUGAAAUUCGUAGAUAUCAAGUGGAACACCGGUGGCGAAGGCGACCUUCUGGACAGUGACUGACGCUGAGACGCGAAAGCGUGGGGAGCAAACAGG
rnacentral:misc_RNA from 1 species